GCCGCCGAAGCUCACAGGGGAGCGCUGCACAGAUAAUGCAGGUCACAUUGGCGAUAACGGGCUGACUGCUCAACGUGUGAUUAGCCACCACGCAGUAGCACAGCUCGGGUGCCGGUUCAACUCCGGCCGGCGGCUUA
rnacentral:tRNA from 1 species